UACAGAGGUCUCAAGCGUUGUUCGGAUUCAUUGGGCGUAAAGGGCGCGUAGGCGGCAGUGCAAGUCAGGUGUGAAAUCCCGGGGCUCAACCCCGGAACUGCACUUGAUACUGCUCUGCUAGAGUACUGGAGAGGAGACUGGAAUUUACGGUGUAGCAGUGAAAUGCGUAGAUAUCGUAAGGAAGACCAGUGGCGAAGGCGAGUCUCUGGACAGUUACUGACGCUGAGGCACGAAGGCCAGGGGAGCAAACGGG
rnacentral:rRNA from 1 species